rnacentral:sRNA from 1 species
CGAAGAUGGCGGAGGUGCAGGUCCUGGUGCUUGAUGGUCGAGGCCAUCUCCUGGGCCGCCUGGCGGCCAUCGUGGCUAAACAGGUACUGCUGGGAACUUAGCUCUGGCGAGUACUGCGCUGUGUCUGGAGGGUUGACUGCAUAGGCAAUGGUGGGACCCUCAGGCGGCUCGGCCCUGCUAAGCCUUUCCCUCCCUCUAGGCCGGAAGGUGGUGGUCGUACGCUGUGAAGGCAUCAACAUUUCUGGCAAUUUCUACAGAAACAAGUUGAAGUACCUGGCUUUCCUCCGCAAGCGGAUGAACACCAACCCUUCCCGAGGCCCCUACCACUUCCGGGCCCCCAGCCGCAUCUUCUGGCGGACCGUGCGAGGUAUGCUGCCCCACAAAACCAAGCGAGGCCAGGCCGCUCUGGACCGUCUCAAGGUGUUUGACGGCAUCCCACCGCCCUACGACAAGAAAAAGCGGAUGGUGGUUCCUGCUGCCCUCAAGGUCGUGCGUCUGAAGCCUACAAGAAAGUUUGCCUAUCUGGGGCGCCUGGCUCACGAGGUUGGCUGGAAGUACCAGGCAGUGACAGCCACCCUGGAGGAGAAGAGGAAAGAGAAAGCCAAGAUCCACUACCGGAAGAAGAAACAGCUCAUGAGGCUACGGAAACAGGCCGAGAAGAACGUGGAGAAGAAAAUUGACAAAUACACAGAGGUCCUCAAGACCCACGGACUCCUGGUCUGAGCCCAAUAAAGACUGUUAAUUCCUCAUGCGUUGCCUGCCCUUCCUCCAUUGUCGCCCUGGAAUGUACGGGACCC